rnacentral:lncRNA from 1 species
GAGGAUGCAGGUCAGGUUAAGAGAAAUAGUGCAGUUCCAACCCUGGGCAGCCCUAAGUAAGAGUCAUCAGAAGCUUCCAGGCAAUUGUCACUGAAAAAUAAGUGCUAUAGCACUACCUCAGCUGCUGCAACCACAGACCUCAUUCAGAAAUCUUUAUUGUAUUAACCCUUGUGUGUCCGGAAUUGGUGGGUUCUUGGUCUCACUGACUUCAAGAAUGAAGCCUGGGACACUCACGGAAUCAAGACAACUCACCAGAAAAAGGACUGAGAACUCCUUCUGGAUGAAGAUACUUCCUAGGUGCAAGAGAGUUGAGUUGUACGUUUGAAAAAGCUCAUUAUAACCAUGCUCCCCAGGUCUAGACAGCCCCUCUUCACUUAGCCCUUCCCCACCAGCUACACUGCCCUGAACCUACCAGGCCUGAUGAGUCAUGUAGCCCAGCCAAGAAGUGAGUCAAGGGGAGACAUGAGUCAUAGACAUUCAAUACACAUGGCACUCCCAAGACACAAAGACUUUUCUACGUAAACCUCACUCUCACUGCAUAUCCAUGUUCUAAGACUUGGAGAAUCUGUCUCAGGGUACAACCGGUGACACAAUGUGGAAGGACACUGAGCUCUUGCUAUGCAUCUAUUACUUCUUUGUUUCACAAACUCCAUUUUCCAGCGAUAAAGCCUAAACCAGCCUUCUUAUUGUUGUUCUGAAAAGAUAAAGUAUUUAUUCUUAAAUAUCAA